CAACAUCUAAUGGCUCUUAAUCCUCCUGUGUUUAAUGCUACCAACCACGCAUUAAGCCUCUUCGAUCCAUCGAUCGCUAAGCCGCCCCGCUGUUCCUCCCGCAGCCUCGCGCCGCCGUUUGCCGCAGGUGCCGCCUCGCCCUUCGCCGCCUCCCGCAGCCGCCGCCCGUCACCGGGCCCGUCGCACCAGGAGAUGCCCCGCCGGCCCUUUGCCGCCUCCCGUAGCCACGCCCUUCGCCGCGGGUCGCCGCGCCCGUCGCCCCGGGAGCCGCCGCCUGCCGCCUCGCCCAUCGCCCCAGGAGCCCGCCCCGCCGGCCCUCGCCGCCUUCCUUCACCGUGGGUCGUCGCCGCCGGAGCCGUCCUCUUCCUCUUCCCGGUGGCGUAAUGCAGGUUCAUGAUUCUGAAGUUAAUUCCUUUCAGCUUCAAACUGAAAUAAUUCUUCUAUGUUCCCGUACCAUGGAGACGGGCACUAAACUUUCGAAAAUAGUAUGAAGUCAACCCUUUCUGUACAACCAAUGACCCUAUUUUUUGGGUAAAUGUUUUCAUUAUUGCCUAAUUGUGUGAGUGAUUGACACUUUCUGGUUGUGCUAAAUUUCAGUCCUACAAAUUUUCUUUGAGUAUGUUAAAAUGGUGGAGCCAUAUCUCACUGGGAUUUGUGCAGUAAACUAUUUUUCUUUUC